rnacentral:misc_RNA from 1 species
CUUAGAUUUGAUGGCAUACCUAUAGCAAAUGAUGGAACAGUUCCUUUCCGCAAUAGGGAGCGGAUAACUUUUGAUCAUUUGGUGUCUAUGAAGAAACCCAAUGAAAAAGCUUUACUAAGAAUUUUGCGGGAUGGUGAAGAGAAGGAAUUCAGUAUCACUGUCAAACCUUUGCAGCCACUAGUUCCGGUUCAUCAGUUUGACAGGCUUCCUUAGUUAUUACAUUUUUGCUGGUCUGGUCUUUGUUCCACUCUCACAGCCAUAUCUUCAUGAGUAUGGAGAAGACUGGUAUAAUACUUCACCUCAUCGAUUGUGUGAACUUGCAUUGAGGGAGCUGCCUAAAAAGCCUGGUGAACAACUCGUCAUUCUUUCCCAGGUGCUGAUGGAUGAUAUAAAUGCAGGAUACGAGCGUCUUGCAGAAUUACAGGUUAAGGAAGUUAAUGGUGUAGAAAUUGAAAAUUUGAAGCAUUUGUGCCAGCUUAUUGAGAAUUGUAGUGCCGAGAGCUUGAGAUUUGAUUUGGAUGAUGGUCGGGUAAUUGUAUUGAACUAUAACUCUGGAAGUGGCUACCCUUG